CGGCCCACCAAGGCGAUGACGGGUAGCUGGUCUGAGAGGAUGGCCAGCCACAUUGGGACUGAGAGACGGCCCAGACUCCUACGGGAGGCAGCAGUGGGGAAUCUUGCGCAAUGGCCGAAAGGCUGACGCAGCGACGCCGCGUGGAGGAUGACGCCCUUCGGGGUGUAAACUCCUGUUGCCCGGGACGAAUGCCUGUUUUGACAGGAGUGACGGUACCGGGUGAGGAAGCACCGGCUAACUCUGUGCCAGCAGCCGCGGUAAUACAGAGGGUGCGAGCGUUGUCCGGAAUCACUGGGCGUAAAGGGCGCGUAGGUGGCGGAGUAAGCGUGUGGUGAAAGUCCGGGGCUCAACCCCGGAUCGGCCAUGCGAACUGCUUCGCUGGAGCACGGUAGAGGCACAUGGAAUUCCGGGUGUAGCGGUGGAAUGCGUAGAGAUCCGGAAGAACACCGGUGGCGAAGGCGGUGUGCUGGGCCGUUGCUGACACUGAGGCGCGACAGCGUGGGGAGCAAACAGGAUUAGAUACCCUGGUAGUCCACGCCGUAAACGAUGGGCACUAGGUCCUUGGGGGAGCGACCCCGUGAGGGCCGGCGCUAACGCA
rnacentral:rRNA from 1 species